GUGUAAGUAUGAAUUAAUUCAGAUAGUGAAACACUGAAUUGACUCAUAAUAUCAGUUAUAAUUUGUUUGGUGGUAUCUACUACUCGAAUAACCAUAGUUUCUAGAGUUAAUACAUGCAACAAACCCGAAUUUUGGAAGGGAUGCAUUCAUUAGAUAAAAAGUUGACGCGGGCUCUGCCUGUUGCUGCAAUGAUUCAUGAUAACUCGACGUAUCGCAUGACUAUCGUGCCAGCGAUGCUCAUUCAAAUUUUUGCCUAUCAACUUUUGGUGGUAGGAUAAUGGCCUACUGUCACAGGGUCGAUUUUUAUGCCCGAG
rnacentral:rRNA from 1 species